rnacentral:rRNA from 1 species
UACGAGGGGGGCUAGCGUUGUUCGGAAUUACUGGGCGUAAAGCGCGCGUAGGCGGUGAUCUUUGUCAGAGGUGAAAUCCCGAGGCUCAACUUCGGAAUUGCCUUUGAAACGGGAUCGCUUGAGUCCGAGAGAGGAUGGCGGAAUUCCUAGUGUAGAGGUGAAAUUCGUAGAUAUUAGGAAGAACACCGGUGGCGAAGGCGGCCAUCUGGCUCGGUACUGACGCUCAGGCGCGAAAGCGUGGGGAGCAAACAGG